rnacentral:tRNA from 1 species
GGGAAGGUGGCUCAGUGGUAGAGCGCUUGCCUUGCAUGCACGAGGCCCUGGGUUCGAUUCCUCAGCGCCA